rnacentral:rRNA from 1 species
AGCGAACGCUGGCGGCAGGCCUAACACAUGCAAGUCGAACGCCCCUUCGGGGGAGUGGCGGACGGGUUAGUACCGCGUGGGAAUGUGCCCUUUGGUACGGCACAACUGAUGGAAACUUCAGCUAAUACCGUAUGUGCCCUACGGUGGAAAGAUUUAUCGCCAUUGGAGCAGCCCGAGUUGGAUUAGGUAGUUGGUGGGGUAAUUGCCCACCAAGCCGACGAUCCAUAGAUGGUCUGAGAGGAUGAUAAGCCACACUGGGAGUGAGACACGGCCCAGACUCCUACGGGAGGCAGCAGUGGGGAAUCUUGCGAAAUGGGCGAAAGCCUGACGAAGCCAUGCCGCGUGAAUGAUGAAGGUCUUAGGAUUGUAAAAUUCUUUCACCGGGGAAGAUAAUGACGGUACCCGGAGAAGAAGCCCCGGCUAACUUCGUG